UAACAAUAGCAAUGGUAGGUAGAUAUAAGAUUG
rnacentral:guide_RNA from 1 species